GAUGAACGCUAGCGAUAGGCUUAACACAUGCAAGUCGAGGGGCAGCACAAGGUAGCUUGCUAUCUGGGUGGCGACCGGCGCACGGGUGCGUAACGCGUAUGCAACUUGCCCUAUACAGGAGGAUAACCCGUCGAAAGUCGGACUAAUACUGCGUAUGCUCACAACUUGGCAUCAAGUGGUGAGGAAAGAAAUUCGGUAUAGGAUAGGCAUGCGUCCCAUUAGCUUGUUGGUGAGGUAACGGCUCACCAAGGCAACGAUGGGUAGGGGAACUGAGAGGUUUAUCCCCCACACUGGUACUGAGACACGGACCAGACUCCUACGGGAGGCAGCAGUGAGGAAUAUUGGUCAAUGGGCGCGAGCCUGAACCAGCCAAGUCGCGUGAAGGAUGACUGUCUUAUGGAUUGUAAACUUCUUUUAUACGGGAAUAACAAGAGUCACGUGUGACUCCCUGCAUGUACCGUAUGAAUAAGCAUCGGCUAACUCCGUG
rnacentral:rRNA from 1 species